rnacentral:rRNA from 1 species
AACGCUAGCUACAGGCUUAACACAUGCAAGUCGAGGGGAAACGACAUCGAAAGCUUGCUUUUGAUAGGCGUCGACCGGCGCACGGGUGAGUAACGCGUAUCCAACCUGCCCACCACUUGGGGAUAACCUUGCGAAAGUAAGACUAAUACCCAAUGACGUCUCUAGAAGACAUCUGAAAGGGAUUAAAGAUUCAUCGGUGAUGGAUGGGGAUGCGUCUGAUUAGCUUGUUGGCGGGGUAACGGCCCACCAAGGCUACGAUCAGUAGGGGUUCUGAGAGGAAGGUCCCCCACAUUGGAACUGAGACACGGUCCAAACUCCUACGGGAGGCAGCAGUGAGGAAUAUUGGUCAAUGGGCGAGAGCCUGAACCAGCCAAGUAGCGUGCAGGAUGACGGCCCUAUGGGUUGUAAACUGCUUUUAUAAGGGAAUAAAGUGAGCCUCGUGAGGCUUUUUGCAUGUACCUUAUGAAUAAGGACCGGCUAAUUCCGUGCCAGCAGCCGCGGUAAUACGGAGGAUGCGAGCGUUAUCCGGAUUUAUUGGGUUUAAAGGGUGCGCAGGCGGCGGAUCAAGUCAGCGGUCAAACUUCGGGGCUCAACCCCGUUUUGCCGUUGAAACUGAUCGGCUGGAGUCUGUUCGAGGGACGCGGAAUGCGAGGUGUAGCGGUGAAAUGCAUAGAUAUCACGAAGAACUCCGAUUG